CCUACGGGAGGCAGCAGUGGGGGAUAUUGGACAAUGGACGAAAGUCUGAACCAGCGAAGUAGCGUGAAGGAUGAAUGCCCUAUGGGUGGUAAGCUUCGUUUAUAUGGAAGUAAAAUGUUCCACGUGUGGGAUUUUGUAUGUACCAUAUGAAUAAGGAACGGCUAACUCCGUGCCAGCAGCCGCGGUAAUACGGAGGAUCCGAGCGUUAUCCGGAUUUAGUGGGUGUAACGGGAGCGUAGGUGGAUUGGUAAGUCAGUUGUGAAAGUUUGCGGCUCAACCGUAAAAUUGCAGUUGAAACUGGCAGUCUUGAGUACAGUAGAGGUGGGCGGAAUUCGUGGUGUAGCGGUGAAAUGCGUAGAUAUCACGAAGAACACCGGUGGCGAAGGCAGCCUACUGGACUGCAACUGACAUUGAGGCUCGAAAGUGUGGGUAGCAAACAGGAUUAGAUACCCUUGUAGUC
rnacentral:rRNA from 1 species